rnacentral:rRNA from 1 species
GACGGAGGGUGCAGGCGUUGUUCGGAAUUACUGGGGCGUAAAGUGUGCGCAGGUGGCCGCGCAAGUCGAGUGUGAAAUCCCCGAGCUUAACUUGGGAAUUGCGCUCGAAACUACGUGGCUCGAGUGUGGCAGAGGAAGGUGGAAUUCCACGUGUAGCGGUGAAAUGCGUAGAGAUGUGGAGGAACACCGAUGGCGAAGGCAGCCUUCUGGGCCAACACUGACGCUCAUGCACGAAAGCGUGGGGAGCAAACAGG